rnacentral:lncRNA from 1 species
CUCUCUCCUGACCGACUGCAUCAAGGAGUCCGAUGGCCGACUCUCGCAAUAUGCCCGACUGACCGUCGGAUGGGCCCGAAUCUCCACCCGACAACAUACAGCUGAUCACCGACCUAAGGUCGGUUGACUCCUCCGAUCGUCGUACAGCUGUUAGAGACUGUCAGCCCUGACAGCAGCAUGCGGCACUGCCGCCUAAGGGCAUUAUCCCACCUAGGGCAUUGUCAACCCUAGUGAUUUGACAGCCCCACGACGAUGUGACACUUUCACGGCGACUCUGACAGUCUACAGUGAGCUGACAAUUCCUCAAUUGUCUGCGCCAUUAAUGACGGCGCCAUACUAUGCUCCACUAUAUAUAUC